AGUGAACGCUGGCGGUAGGCCUAACACAUGCAAGUCGAGCGGCAGCACAGUAAGAGCUUGCUCUUACGGGUGGCGAGUGGCGGACGGGCGAGGAAUACAUCGGAAUCUACUUUUUCGUGGGGGAUAACGUAGGGAAACUUACGCUAAUACCGCAUACGACCUACGGGUGAAAGCAGGGGAUCUUCGGACCUUGCGCGAUUGAAUGAGCCGAUGUCGGAUUAGCUAGUUGGCGGGGUAAAGGCCCACCAAGGCGACGAUCCGUAGCUGGUCUGAGAGGAUGAUCAGCCACACUGGAACUGAGACACGGUCCAGACUCCUACGGGAGGCAGCAGUGGGGAAUAUUGGACAAUGGGCGCAAGCCUGAUCCAGCCAUACCGCGUGGGUGAAGAAGGCCUUCGGGUUGUAAAGCCCUUUUGUUGGGAAAGAAAAGCAGCAGGUUAAUACCCCGCUGUUCUGACGGUACCCAAAGAAUAAGCACCGGCUAACUUCGU
rnacentral:rRNA from 1 species